GCCUGGGUGGCUCAGUCGGCUGAGCGUCUGACUUCGGCUCAGGUCAUGAUCUCGCAGUUUGUGGGUUCAAGCCCCGCAUCAGGCU
rnacentral:tRNA from 1 species